rnacentral:rRNA from 1 species
UACGAAGGGGGCUAGCGUUGCUCGGAAUUACUGGGCGUAAAGGGCGCGUAGGCGGCACUGUUAGUCAGGCGUGAAAUUCCUGGGCUCAACCUGGGGACUGCGCUUGAUACGGCAGAGCUAGAGGAUGGAAGAGGCUCGCGGAAUUCCCAGUGUAGAGGUGAAAUUCGUAGAUAUUGGGGAAGAACACCGGUGGCGAAGGCGGCGAGCUGGUCCAUUACUGACGGCUGAGGCGCGACAGCGUGGGGAGCAAACAGG